GAAGAACGCUGGUGUUCGUAGCAUGUUGGUGUUCAGGAAACAUGUUGAGGGGGUCAGAGCAAUUCGAUUUUACUCACAAGCGUUAAAUUAUGCCGUUUUUUAAAAAAUAUUAAAUGAAUCUAGAUGCUGUUUACAGCUACUUAUCUUGUUUAGGCCUCUAUUUUAAGCUUUUUUUUUUCACAACGUUUCGUUCAGCAACUUUAGCUGAAACGGUGAACACGUGGAGAGGCUCGAAAGACGGCUAGGCCUCCUGAACAAAAUGGGUUCCAGUGAACUGAGCUCGUGGCCUCGCAUGGUCGAGCUGCUGAUGUCACGGCAGAGCUUCUGUUUCCAGGCAUCUACCACAAUAACAAAAAGGGUUUGUCUUUGAUUGUUUUUAUUAUUCAAGGAUUUUAGUUUCACAAUAAAAAAAGUUGUGGAAUAAA